rnacentral:rRNA from 1 species
AAACUUUACAAUGCGAGCAAUCGUGAUAAGGAAACCCUGAGUGCCUGUCGAUGCAGGCUGUUCAUAUAUCUAAAUCAUAUGUGAAGAAAGGGCAGGGCAAGACCGGUGCCAGCCGCCGCGGUAAUACCGGCUGCUCGAGUGAUGGCCACUAUUACUGGGUUUAAAGCGUCCGUAGCUUGACUGUUAGGUCUCUUGGGAAAUCUUCACGCUCAACGUGAAGGCGUCUAAGAGAUACCGGCAGUCUUGGAACUGGGAGAGGUAAACCGUACUUCGGGGGUAGGAGUGAAAUCUUGUAAUCCUCGAGGGACGACCUAUGGCGAAGGCAGUUUACCAGAACAGCUUCGACAGUGAGGGACGAAAGCUGGGGGAGCAAACGGG